GAAGGAUUAGAUAUGAUAAGGCAAACUUUUUUGUAAGCUUCUUUUUUAAAAAAAAAAAAAAAAAAAAAAAAAAACAUUCAAAAGCUGUUGUCUUCACAAACGAUUUGGCCUGGAAUUGCAUCAGAGAAGAGCUUCAUGGAAAAUUGGUGGCAGACUCAAGGGGUCAAAAACAAUUAAAAGAUGAUAAUACAGGUGACACCAAUUGCCAGGUGAAAAUCUUGAAUAUAGAUCGCAAAUCUCAUUAAAGGAGAAAACGCCCUCUAGUAGUUUUUUUUUUCACUCUUAGGACUUGAAACGAG
rnacentral:lncRNA from 1 species